rnacentral:rRNA from 1 species
AUUGAACGCUGGCGGCAGGCCUAACACAUGCAAGUCGAACGAGUGGCGGACGGGUGAGCAAUGUCUGGGAAACUGCCUGCUGGAGGGGGAUAACUACUGGAAACGGUAGCUACUACCGCAUACCAUCAGAUGUGCCCAGAUGGGAUUAGCUAGUUGGUGGGGUAACGGCUCACCAAGGCGACGUUCCCUAGCUGGUCUGAGAGGAUGACCAGCCACACUGGAACGGAGCCACGGUCCAGACUCCUACGGGAGGCAGCAGUGGGGAAUAUUGCACAAUGGGCGAGAGCCGGAUGCAGCCAUGCCGCGUGUAUGAAGAAGGCCUUCGGGUUGUAAAGUACUUUCAGCGGGGAGGCGUUACCCGCAGAAGAAGCACCGGCUAACUCCGUGCCAGCAGCCGCGGUAAUUC